AUUGAACGCUGGCGGCAGGCCUAACACAUGCAAGUCGAGCGGAUGAAGGGAGCUUGCUCCUGGAUUCAGCGGCGGACGGGUGAGUAAUGCCUAGGAAUCUGCCUGGUAGUGGGGGAUAACGUCCGGAAACGGGCGCUAAUACCGCAUACGUCCUGAGGGAGAAAGUGGGGGAUCUUCGGACCUCACGCUAUCAGAUGAGCCUAGGUCGGAUUAGCUAGUUGGUGGGGUAAAGGCCUACCAAGGCGACGAUCCGUAACUGGUCUGAGAGGAUGAUCAGUCACACUGGAACUGAGACACGGUCCAGACUCCUACGGGAGGCAGCAGUGGGGAAUAUUGGACAAUGAGCGAAAGCCUGAUCCUGCCAUGCCGCGUGUGUGAAGAAGGUCUUCGGAUUGUAAAGCACUUUAAGUUGGGAGGAAGGGCAGUAAGUUAAUACCUUGCUGUUUUGACGUUACCUACAGAAUCAGCACCGGCUAACUUCGUG
rnacentral:rRNA from 1 species